rnacentral:precursor_RNA from 1 species
AGACCUGGUGAUUCGAACUAAUUGUAAUUUACGAAAAUAAUUAUCGACUCCUCAGGUACCC